GAACGCGCUUCGCUAGAAUUGAGUGGCGGACGGGUGAGUAAACAUGGGUCACCUACCUUCCCGUGAAGGGAUACCGGUUGAGAAAUCGCCGACAAUCCCGCAUAGGCUCGGCUCGGGCAAUCGGGACGAUCAAUGUCGCAAGACGCGGGCAGAUGGGCCCGUGGCCGAUAAGCUCGUUGGUGGGGUAAGAGCUCACCAAUGCGACGAUCGGUAUCUGGUCUGAUAGGAUGAUCAUUCUCUCUGGGAUUGAGAUCGGCCCAUAUUCCUACUGGGGGCAUCAGUGAGGAAUUUUCGGCAAUGGGCGUACGCCUGACCGAGCAACGCCGCUUGCAUGAUGAAUGUCUUCUGAUCGUAAACUGCUUUUCGCUAUGACGAGAACGGACGGUACUCGCGGAAUCAGCCCCGGCUAACUACGUGCCAGCAGCCGCGGUAAU
rnacentral:rRNA from 1 species